CCGUAGGUGAACCUGCGGAGGGAUCAUUGCUGGAACGCGCUUCGGCGCACCCAGAAACCCUUUGUGAACUUAUACCUAUUUGUUGCCUCGGCGUAGGCCGGCCUCUUCACUGAGGCCCCCUGGAGACAGGGAGCAGCCCGCCGGCGGCCAACUAAACUCUUGUUUCUAUAGUGAAUCUCUGAGUAAAAACAUAAAUGAAUCAAAACUUUCAACAACGGAUCUCUUGGUUCUGGCAUCGAUGAAGAACGCAGCGAAAUGCGAUAAGUAAUGUGAAUUGCAGAAUUCAGUGAAUCAUCGAAUCUUUGAACGCACAUUGCGCCCUCUGGUAUUCCGGUGGGCAUGCCUGUUCGAGCGUCAUUUCAACCCUCAAGCCUGGCUUGGUGAUGGGGCACUGCCUUCUAGCGAGGGCAGGCCCUGAAAUCUAGUGGCGAGCUCGCUAGGACCCCGAGCGUAGUAGUUAUAUCUCGUUCUGGAAGGCCCUGGCGGUGCCCUGCCGUUAAACCCCCAACUUCUGAAAAUUUGACCUCGGAUCAGUAGGAAUACCCGCUGAACUUAAGCAUAUCAAUAAGCGGAGGA
rnacentral:rRNA from 1 species